GACGAACGCUGGCGGCGUGCCUAAUACAUGCAAGUAGGACGCAGUUGCGAACGGGUGAGUAACGCGUAGGUAACUACCUAUUUGUGGGUGAUAACUAUUGGAAACGAUAGCUAAUACCGCAUACUAGUAGAUAUACCUGCUUUGUAUUAGCUAGUAGGUAGGGUAAAGGCAUACCUAGGCAACGAUACAUAGCCGAGCUGGGAUGGGGAACGGCCAAAAUGGGACUUGGACACGGCGCAGAAUGCUACGGGAGGCAGCAGUAGGGAAUCUUCGGGAAAGGGGGGAAACCUGACCGAGCAACGCCGCGUGAGUGAAGAAGGUUUUCGGGUCGUAAAGCUCUGUUGUUAAAGAAGCGGUACUUAACCAGAAAGGGACGGCUAACUACGUGCCAGCAGCCGCGGUAAUAC
rnacentral:rRNA from 1 species